AUUGAACGCUGGCGGCAUGCUUUACACAUGCCAGUCGAACGGCAGCGCGGGCUUCGGCCUGGCGGCGAGUGGCGAACGGGUGAGUAAUACAUCGGAACGUGCCCAGUAGUGGGGGAUAGCUCGGCGAAAGCCGGAUUAAUACCGCAUACGACCUGAGGGUGAAAGCGGGGGAUCUUCGGACCUCGCGCUAUUGGAGCGGCCGAUGGCAGAUUAGCUAGUUGGUGGGGUAAAGGCCUACCAAGGCGACGAUCUGUAGCUGGUCUGAGAGGACGACCAGCCACACUGGAACUGAGACACGGCCCAGACUCCUACGGGAGGCAGCAGUGGGGAAUUUUGGACAAUGGGCGAAAGCCUGAUCCAGCAAUGCCGCGUGUGUGAUGAAGGCCUUCGGGUUGUAAAGCACUUUUGGCGGGAACGAAAAGGACUGUGCCAAUACCACGGUUCGAUGACGGUACCCGAAGAAUAAGCACCGGCUAACUACGUG
rnacentral:rRNA from 1 species